rnacentral:misc_RNA from 1 species
ACCAUCGGCCAGAUUCCAUUCCCAUUCCGAUCUCGCCUCUAUUCUCUGCUUUAUCCUUUUGCCGCGCUCUGCGUAGGUACUGCGAACGCACAACAGCUGUAGAAUUUAUAAAAAGAUCUGUUCGACCGACCGAUGAAACCCUUAUCAAGGUCUUUCCACCAUUAUGGAGGUGUUAGUGGAAGGAAGGAAGAACGCGUGUUUCUUUCACCGUUACGGAAAUAUUUACACAACCAUGUGCAAACCAACUUACGCCAGGGUAAAUUAGAUUGCUGUCGGCUUUGUCAUUUCACCAACCGACAAAAGAUCAUUAUCUUUUGAACACGGUCACUAUACAAACCUCUAGAAACGUCCACACCAUUGAGCACAAUUUAGUAUUCAACGACGUAUUACCUUAAAUCAAACAAUCGUGCUCAUUUUCCUGGAAGGAACAACUUCAACUAAUUUUCCAUCACGAUUAAAUCGACAUCUGAAAAUCUAGAUUUGGAAUUUUCGAAUUUACAAAAUCAAACUACAUCCCAUAAAGUAUUCUUUUAUCAGUAUAAAAAUAUUUUUCUGUAUUGUGAUCAUAGAUAUAACAAUUUUUAUAUACUAAACUUUCUAUAUUGAAAGUAAGAGUAACGUGAAUUAACAAUUAUCGAUUUCCAUAGGUAAUGAGCAUCGAUACCUCGAAGAAAGGGCAUUUGUGAUGCAUAUGACAGUCAUAAUAACAGGUUACAACUUGUCUGUACAAGCCGUGAACGAAGGCCUCCCAUUUAAAAUUCGCAGCUGACAGUCAAAAGGCAAUAAGACCAAUUUAGACGUGACUAAAGUCGCAAAAUUUUCCCAAAAAAUUUGGAUAAACGGCGGCGUUAAUUAAGCUAAUACGAAACGUGAUAUGCAACAAUUAUAAUUUAAUGGGUCCAGGUCACGGUGAAGAGCGCACCGUAACAUAACUGUUUAUUAAGUAUCUCGUCGCCCACGUUAAUUGAGAAGUUACUGUCGAAUUGAUAGCUCCGACGUAAAGUAACCUUAAUCGCAGCCGAAGCAUUUUAAUUAGACCUGCUCUCACGAUAAUUAAAUGAAAAAUGUUUGGGAACAUUGCAUGCUACAGCAUAUUAACGCACGUGAUUUUUACUUUUAUGAUACGCGGAAAUCAAUUACAUCCUUUUUUGUCAAUCAAUUUCAUUUAGAAAGGAAGGCAAUACUGAAUUAAUUAUAGUUUAUACUGCAAUG